UACGUAGGUGGCAAGCGUUGUCCGGAAUUACUGGGUGUAAAGCGCGUGUAGGCGGGAGGCCAAGUCUGCUGUGAAAUCGCCCCGGCUCAACUGGGCGGGGUCGGUGGAAACUGGUCACUUGGAGGACGGUAGAGGCGAGUGGAAUUCCCGGUGUAGUGGUGAAAUGCGUAGAGAUCGGGAGGAACACCAGUGGCGAAGGCGGCUCGCUGGGCCGGCCCUGACGCUGAGACGCGAAGGCGUGGGGAGCGAACGGG
rnacentral:rRNA from 1 species